AAUCAACGCUGGCGGCGUGCCUAACACAUGCAAGUCGAACGCGAAAGUGGAGCAAUCCAUGAGUAGAGUGGCAAACGGGUGAGUAACACGUGGGUGACCUGCCUUCGAGCGGGGGAUAACGUCCCGAAAGGGACGCUAAUACCGCAUAACAUCCUGCCUUUUAAGAGGUGGAGAUCAAAGCCGGGGAUCGCAAGACCUGGCACUUGAAGAGGGGCCCGCGCCUGAUUAGCAGUUGGUGGGGUAAUGGCCUACCAAGGCGACGAUCAGUAUCCGGCCUGAGAGGGCGGACGGACACACUGGGACUGAGACACGGCCCAGACUCCUACGGGAGGCAGCAGUGGGGAAUUGUUCGCAAUGGGCGCAAGCCUGACGACGCAACGCCGCGUGGAGGAUGAAGACCUC
rnacentral:rRNA from 1 species